GAUGAACGCUGGCGGCGUGCUUAACACAUGCAAGUCGAACGAUGAAGCCCAGCUUGCUGGGUGGAUUAGUGGCGAACGGGUGAGUAACACGUGAGUAACCUGCCCCUGACUUUGGGAUAAGCCCGGGAAACUGGGUCUAAUACCGGAUAUGACUAUGGAACGCAUGUUUUGUGGUUGAAAGCUUUAUCGGUGAGGGAUGGACUCGCGGCCUCUCAGCUUGUUGGUGAGGUAAUGGCUCACCAAGGCGACGACGGGUAGCCGGCCUGAGAGGGGGACCGGCCACACUGGGACUGAGACACGGCCCAGACUCCUACGGGAGGCAGCAGUGGGGAAUAUUGCACAAUGGGCGAAAGCCUGAUGCAGCGACGCCGCGUGAGGGAUGACGGCCUUCGGGUUGUAAACCUCUUUCAGUAGGGAAGAAGCGAAAGUGACGGUACCUGCAGAAGAAGCGCCGGCUAACUACGUGCCAGCAGCCGCCGUAA
rnacentral:rRNA from 1 species